UACGGAGGGGACUAGCGUUGUUCGGAAUUACUGGGCGUAAAGCGCACGUAGGCGGAUUUGUAAGUCAGGGGUGAAAUCCCGGGGCUCAACCUCGGAACUGCCUUUGAUACUGCAAAUCUCGAGUCCGGAAGAGGUGAGUGGAAUUCCUAGUGUAGAGGUGAAAUUCGUAGAUAUUAGGAAGAACACCAGUGGCGAAGGCGGCUCACUGGUCCGGUACUGACGCUGAGGUGCGAAAGCGUGGGGAGCAAAAGGG
rnacentral:rRNA from 1 species